rnacentral:tRNA from 1 species
GGUUAUGGCUCAGCGGUAGAACACUUGUCUCGCAUGCAUGAGGCCCUGGGUUCGAUCCUCAGCACCA